AUGAACGCUGACAGAAUGCUUAACACAUGCAAGUCUUUGGCGAAUCUGUGCUUGCACAGGCUAGCCAAGGCGGACGGGUGAGUAACGCGUAAAGAACUUGCCCUGCAGACAGGGAUAACAGACGGAAACGACUGAUAACACCUGAUACAGUUGCCGGCACGCAUGUGCCUGGCAAUGAAAAGAGAUGCUGCAGGAGAGCUUUGCGUCCUAUUAGCUUGUUGGUGAGGUGACGGCUCACCAAGGCGAUGAUAGGUAGCCGGCCUGAGAGGGUGAACGGCCACAAGGGGACUGAGAUACGGCCCUUACUCCUACGGGAGGCAGCAGUGGGGAAUAUUGGACAAUGGGGGCAACCCUGAUCCAGCAAUUCUGUGUGCACGAAGAAGGUUUUCGGAUUGUAAAGUGCUUUCAGCAGGGAAGAAGAAAGUGACGGUACCUGCAGAAGAAGCGACGGCUAAAUACGUG
rnacentral:rRNA from 1 species